rnacentral:tRNA from 1 species
GGCCCCGUAGCAUAGCCUGGUUGUGCGCACGACUGAUAAUCGUGAGGUCGCCGGUUCAAAUCCGGCCGGGGCCA